UUCAGAAAAACCUUGAUAUCAUUUUCCCGUGGGUCCCAGACUAUUCUUGACUCAACCAUACUUGCCAGCACUUGCUUGAGCUUGGCCGUACUGUAGAUAAACUCAUGUCCUUUCCGUUUUAUUUUGAUGUACGGCAUGGGGUUCAGUUGUGCGAGCAUCAGCACGGGCUGGUACGGGAGUAUUACUUUCCCGAACUUUUGUUGGGCCUGGCUUGCGAUGG
rnacentral:rRNA from 1 species